rnacentral:rRNA from 1 species
CGGACGGGUGAGUAACGCGUGGAUAACCUGCCUCACACUGGGGGAUAACAGUUAGAAAUGGCUGCUAAUACCGCAUAAGCGCACAGUACCGCAUGGUACGGUGUGAAAAACCCAGGUGGUGUGAGAUGGAUCCGCGUCUGAUUAGCCAGUUGGCGGGGUAACGGCCCACCAAAGCGACGAUCAGUAGCCGACCUGAGAGGGUGACCGGCCACAUUGGGACUGAGACGCGGCCCAA